rfam:Brucella melitensis biovar Abortus 2308 chromosome I, complete sequence, strain 2308
AUCAACCGACUGAUAAAAAGACGGCCCAUCGUCUCGACGCUAAUGUCGCAGGGAAUGAGAGCCGGACCGAACAACCGAAAGGACAACAAAUGUU